GACGUGCUUGCACUGAAUGAGAUUUUAACACGAAGUGAGUGGCGGACGGGUGAGUAACACGUGGGUAACCUGCCCAGAAGCAGGGGAUAACACCUGGAAACAGAUGCUAAUACCGUAUAACAGAGAAAACCGCCUGGUUUUCUUUUAAAAGAUGGCUCUGCUAUCACUUCUGGAUGGACCCGCGGCGCAUUAGCUAGUUGGUGAGGUAACGGCUCACCAAGGCGAUGAUGCGUAGCCGACCUGAGAGGGUAAUCGGCCACAUUGGGACUGAGACACGGCCCAGACUCCUACGGGAGGCAGCAGUAGGGAAUCUUCCACAAUGGACGCAAGUCUGAUGGAGCAACGCCGCGUGAGUGAAGAAGGGUUUCGGCUCGUAAAGCUCUGUUGUUAAAGAAGAACGUGGGUGAGAGUAACUGUUCACCCAGUGACGGUAUUUAACCAGAAAGCCACGGCUAACUACGUGCCAGCAGCCGCGGUAAUACGUAGGUGGCAAGCGUUAUCCGGAUUUAUUGGGCGUAAAGCGAGCGCAGGCGGUCUUUUAAGUCUAAUGUGAAAGCCUUCGGCUCAACCGAAGAAGUGCAUUGGAAACUGGGAGACUUGAGUGCAGAAGAGGACAGUGGAACUCCAUGUGUAGCGGUGAAAUGCGUAGAUAUAUGGAAGAACACCAGUGGCGAAGGCGGCUGUCUGGUCUGUAACUGACGCUGAGGCUCGAAAGCAUGGGUAGCGAACAGGAUUAGAUACCCUGGUAGUCCAUGCCGUAAACGAUGAUUACUAAGUGUUGGAGGGUUUCCGCCCUUCAGUGCUGCAGCUAACGCAUUAAGUAAUCCGCCUGGGGAGUACGACCGCCAGGUUGGAACUCAAAAGAAUUGAAUGGGGCCCGCACAAGCGGUGGAGCAUGUGGUUUAGUUCGAAGCUACGCCAAUAGCCUUACC
rnacentral:rRNA from 1 species